rnacentral:rRNA from 1 species
CGCCUCUUGCAACAACAAAAUAAGAGGUCCCACCUGCCCAGUGACUUUAAGUUUAACGGCCGCGGUAUUUUGACCGUGCAAAGGUAGCACAAUCACUUGUCCUUUAAAUGGGGACCUGUAUGAAUGGUAUCACGAAGGCUAAACUGUCUCCCCCUCCAAGUCAAUGAAAUUGAUCCCCCCGUGCAGAAGCGGGGAUACCGAUAUAAGACGAGAAGACCCUAUGGAGCUUCAGACACCAAGACAGAUCAUGUUAAACAACCCCCUACACAGGCUGAAACCAAAUGAAAUUACCUGCCUAAAUGUCUUUGGUUGGGGCGACCGCGUGGUACAAUAAAACCCCCGCGUGGAAUUGAAACACAUCACCGUUUCUGAGGCUAAGAGCUCCCGCUCAACCCCCCAGAACAUCUGACCAAAAAUGACCCGGCCACUUAUGCCGAACAACGAACCGAGUUACCCUAGGGAUAACAGCGCAAUCCUCUUCCAGAGCCCAUAUCGACAAGAGGGUUUACGACCUCGAUGUUGGAUCAGGGCAUCCUAAUGGUGCAGCCGCUAUUAAGGGUUCGUUUGUUCAACGAUUAAAGCCCU